ACGGGCGGUGUGUACAAAGAACUGGCUAUCUUACUUCCUCUAAAUGACCAAGACUUAGACGAAGACGGGUACGGUGUUCGCAUAUCAAUAAGCGGAGGACCUCUUGGUCAUUUAGAGGAAGUAAUACGUUGGGCAUAUCAAUAAGCGGAGGAGCAUAUCAAUAAGCGGAGGACUGUCUUGGUCAUUUAGAGGAAGUAAAAGUCGUAACAAGGUCUCCGUAGGUGAACCUGCGGAGGGAUCAUUACAAGUGACCCCGGUCUAACCACCGGGAUGUUCAUAACCCUUUGUUGUCCGACUCUGUUGCCUCCGGGGCGACCCUGCCUUCGGGCGGGGGCUCCGGGUGGACACUUCAAACUCUUGCGUAACUUUGCAGUCUGAGUAAACUUAAUUAAUAAAUUAAAACUUUUAACAACGGAUCUCUUGGUUCUGGCAUCGAUGAAGAACGCAGCGAAAUGCGAUAAGUAAUGUGAAUUGCAGAAUUCAGUGAAUCAUCGAAUCUUUGAACGCACAUUGCGCCCCCUGGUAUUCCGGGGGGCAUGCCUGUUCGAGCGUCAUUUCACCACUCAAGCCUCGCUUGGUAUUGGGCAACGCGGUCCGCCGCGUGCCUCAAAUCGACCGGCUGGGUCUUCUGUCCCCUAAGCGUUGUGGAAACUAUUCGCUAAAGGGUGUUCGGGAGGCUACGUCGUAAAACAACCCCAUUUCUAAGGUUGACCUCGGAUCAGUAGGGAUACCCGCUGAACUUAGCAUAUCAAUAGCGGAA
rnacentral:rRNA from 1 species